rnacentral:sRNA from 1 species
CCAGAAAAGCGAGCGGGAGGGGCUGUAGGGUGCUUGUCAAUUCGCCGCCAUGAAUGUGGUUUUUGCUGUGAAGCAGUACAUUUCCAAAAUGAUAGAGGACAGCGGGCCUGGUAUGAAAGUACUUCUCAUGGAUAAAGAGACGACUGGCAUAGUGAGUAUGGUAUACACACAAUCGGAGAUUCUACAGAAGGAAGUGUACCUCUUUGAACGCAUUGAUUCUCAAAAUCGAGAGAUCAUGAAACACCUGAAGGCAAUUUGUUUUCUUCGACCUACAAAGGAGAAUGUGGAUUAUAUGAUUCAGGAGCUCCGAAGACCCAAAUACACUAUAUAUUUCAUUUAUUUCAGUAAUGUGAUCAGCAAGAGUGACGUGAAGUCAUUGGCUGAAGCUGAUGAACAGGAAGUUGUGGCUGAGGUUCAGGUAAACAUAUUGGUCCUGUAACACAUCUCAUAUGUUGGCCCUUUUUAAAUAUUUGAGUCUAAAAAUUAAGGAAAGGUCUGUCUCAAAAGAAGUUUUAUUAUGAACACUUGAAUAUAUUUAUCACAUAAGUGAGGAAUAUUAUUUUCAGAGGCAGCAAAUAAACUAGUUUUGAAUUUUUCAGAAGGAUGUGAUAGGUGAUAAAUGAAUAAAAAGAAUACUUGUUUUAAAUUAUAUUCUCUCUCAUGACAACACAUUGGACAGCAAAGUUCUUUUUUAUCUGAGUAGAACAUUGUAUCUCCUAUUAGCAGUAUUUCAUUUUUACUAAUUGAUAAGUAUGCAUAGAGGUCUCCAGAAAUAUAAUGUGUAUACCUUUACAACUUUUAUUUGUUAGAUUUAUUAUUGUUGCUACUGUUUUGUAAUUAUUUUAAUUCUCCCACGUUGACUGUUGUUACUCAAUUAUUAAUUGAACAAUUUUGUAUCUCUUUACACCUGUAUUUCACAAAGUUUGGCUAUAUCAUAUAUCACUUAUGAAAAUAUUACUGCUUGAUACAAUUGAAGUUUAUGGAAUGACUAUUCUUGGUGCUUUAUUUGCAGGAAUUUUAUGGUGAUUACAUUGCUGUGAACCCACAUUUGUUUUCCCUCAAUAUUUUGGGUUGCUGCCAGGUAUGGAAGGAAACGUUUAAUUUAUCAGUCAAGAGUUAAUUCAGC